UACCAGCACCCCGAGUGGUCGGGACGAUUAUUGGGCCUAAAGCAUCCGUAGCCGGUCAUGCAAGUCUUCCGUUAAAUCCAGCCGCUCAACGGUUGGGCUGCGGAGGAUACUACGUGGCUAGGAGGCGGGAGAGGCAAGCGGUACUCAGUGGGUAGGGGUAAAAUCCUUUGAUCCAUUGAAGACCACCAGUGGCGAAGGCGGCUCGCCAGAACGCGCUCGACGGUGAGGGAUGAAAGCUGGGGGAGCAAACCGGG
rnacentral:rRNA from 1 species